rnacentral:snRNA from 1 species
UCCGUCCAAGGCUAAAUACGG